rnacentral:lncRNA from 1 species
AAUUUUGCUGUUCUUUCAUUGGCCAUGCUGCUGUGUCUAUGCCAAGCAAAAACCCACCUUCACCCUUUGAUCUUGGUACCCGGCACUGGAGGCAAUCAACUAGAAGCUAGGCUAACCGCAGAGUACAAGCCUCCAAGCUUGUUUUGCAACCGGUGGUAUCCAUUGAAGAAGGACAAGAAUGGUUGGUUUAGGCUGUGGUUCGAUCUAAGUAUCAUAUUAUCCCCCUUCACUAGAUGCUUUGCUGACCGCAUGAUGCUAUAUUAUGAUCCUUACCUCGAUGACUACUAUAAUGCCCCUGGAGUGGAGACUAGAGUUCCUAAUUUUGGCUCCAUUCAAUCUCUCCUUUAUCUUAAUCCCCAUCUCAAGUAAGUUUUCUUUUACUUUUCAGGUGAUUAUCUUGAAUGUUACUUCGACUUUGAGUAACUGUGGGAAAUCGAUUCUUAAUUUCUUCCCAUCAACAAUUGUCAAGUACUGAAAGUUCUUCUUGUUUGACUCCUUUUUAGUUUAGCAGUCUGACACCGAGUAUUCUACUAUAUACUACCACACAGUGGUGGCAAGCUAUCUCCGGUUUCAUUAAAAAUUGAUUGCUCUGUUGAUUAACCAACAUCAUGAUGUAUUAAGAUCCUUGAUAAUACUUCAAGAAAUACUUUGGUUUUGAAGCUCCAUGUGGAAUUUGCAUUUAUUGGCAGGCACAUUACUGCAUACAUGGAGCCCCUUGCGAGGUCCCUGGAACAAAUAGGUUACGUGGAUGGUGAAAAUCUAUUCGGAGCACCAUAUGACUUUCGUUAUGGUUUAGCAGCAGAAGGUCAUCCAUCAGCUGUUGGUUCCAAGUUUCUUAGUGACCUGAAACAUCUAAUAGAAAAUGCAAGCUCUUCCAAUGGAGGCAAGCCAGUGAUCCUUCUAUCCCACAGCCUAGGAGGCCUAUUUGUCCUUCAACUACUCAACCGAAAUUCACCUUCUUGGCGUCAAAAAUAUGUCAAGCAUUUCAUCGCACUCUCUGCACCCUGGGGUGGCACAGUUCAGGAGAUGAUCACCUUUGCUUCUGGAUAUACGCUAGGGAUUCCCUUUGCUGAUCCUCUGAUAGUCAGGAAUGAGCAAAGGAGUUCUGAAAGUAACCUAUGGCUCUUGCCUUCUCCUAAAGUAUUUUCUCAGAAGAAACCACUUGUGAUCGCACAAAAUGCGUCGUAUUCAGCACAUGAUAUUGAACAAUUUCUUGAAGACAUUGGAGCUCCAGAAAGAGUGAAGCCUUACAAAUCGCGAAUUUUGCCUUUGGUGGGAAAAUUUGUGGCUCCUGAAGUGCCCAUUACUUGCAUAGUUGGCACUGGUGUGGAGACACCGGAGACCUUGUUGUAUGGAGAAUGCGGCUUUGAUGAGCAACCUGAGAUUAUUUAUGGAGAUGGAGAUGGAACAGCGAACAUAAUUAGCUUAUUGUCUGUGGAACUGGAAUGGGCAGAUAAUAGAAAUCAGACCCUUAAGGUGAUUAAACUUCCUGGGGUUUCUCAUACUGAUAUACUGCGGGAUGAUGCAGCACUUGGUGAAAUACUAGGACAAAUUAACAGUAUCAACUCUGUCUGAAGUCAGUAUCUCAUUCUCAGAAUAUUAUUCUGAGAAGUCAGUAAUGGCUGUAAUCGUCUAUCAAUUGAGCUGAUUCCCUCCGAAACAACUGCAGAAAAUCAGCAAGAAAGCAGGAGCAAACAUUUGCAUGCAAAUGAUGUCUUUCCCUGUAAUUAUUUUUUUGUUAUGGGCAGGGAAUUUCUUACAUGAUUUGGCAAAUUUAUACUAUUAUAUUAGUGUGCACCUUGAUUUUGUUGUGUAUAUCAAAAUUUGUAUCAGGUGCAACCCUUCAAGGUCAAGGAUGUGUAUACUAAGGCUCCGUUUGAUAACACUGAAUCCGAAUUCUAAAUUCUGAAUACUGAAAUAAUUAAUUUGCUGAAUUUUAAGCACUGAAAAGAGAUAUAUAAAUGUCUGAAUUCUAAUGCUGAAUCUAUUUAUACUGUUUGAUAAAAAUUCAUAACUUAGUGCUUAAUAAGCUAAAUUGUACAAUUUUGCUCUUCUAUCUUUUAAUCCAAAAAGGAAAUAGAACCUAUGAUUUAAUUAACUUAAAAUUGUUAGGUAUGAAAAUGACAAUAAUUGUGAAGAGCAAUGCAUAUAAUGACAAUGUUUCUUUGUGUGGGAAAAGGGUAUGGUUUCAUCGUUUUGAGAAUGGAAAAACGAGCUUUUAAUAUUCCAAAAGCACGUUCAAUUACAUUUCUCAAUCUUGCAUGUGCUUGGUUAAAGCGUUCUCCUUUUUAUCUUGGACGAAAAGCAUUUCGAAAAUCAGACAACCAAUAUCUAAUAUUUCGAUAUGGUGUCAUAAAGCCACGUGUGUGUGGAUAAGUUGCAUCACAUAAAUAAUAUUUAUCUGCACAAAAAAAAAAUAUAUCAAAAUAUAAAUGUUUGUGGAUGAAAAUUACUGCAAAAAAAUACUAUUGUUAAAAAAAAUUUUUGAAUAGAGAAUAUCAGGUUAUUUUGUUUAAUUAAAUAAGGAUUUUGAAUAGGGAAUAUUAGGUUGUUUAAUUAGAUAAGGAUUUUGAAUGUAAUUAACAAACAGGGAUAUAUUUGGUAGAUAAGAUAAAGUAGUUGAAGUAAAUCUUUUGAUUCUUAUCAAAUUAAGCAUUCAGCUACGAUUCUUGUGCUGAAAAAAAUACAUACAAAUUCAGCACCACUUAAUAAGUUCAGCAGGUGAAUUUUUAUUUAUCAAACACCCACAACAUCUGAAUGUCUGAAUGAAUUCAGUUUCAGCACUUUUUUAUGUUAUCAAACAGGCACUAAGUGUUGAUAAUGUGUACUGAUAUGAAGCAUAAUUUUACCAAAAAAUCACAAUAUGGUACAUGUAGCAAGUUCGGCUAAAUAUUGAAAAUGUAUUGGAUAAUUUCAAUGAAUAUCCCACUUACACAUUUUUUUCCUAUUAACAUAGAAGAGAAGUGAUUUUCACUCUUUUCUAUCCCUAAAUUUUUCUAAAAUCCCUAAAUAUAUCUGCAAUGUUAAGUUCAGAAAAUAGUUCUUCUGGUCACGGUGUAGUUAUGUAUUGUAUUCUUAUGGUCAGUGAGGAAAACUGGGCAGGCCUCUUAAGGGAAAAAGAUUGAAAAAGGAAGACAUCUGAAGAAGCGCAGAGCUUCCCCGAGGAGAGCUGAUCUGAUCAGCUCGGGGUGUCGAUGGGAGAGCUGAUCCAAGACCUGCAAAACAGAGAGGAUGAGCUAACAAAGGGGGCCCGAGGGUUGUCCCCGAGGGCACUCCGACGGUCAAGUUAGUUUUCCGGUGAGUGAGUUUCACGGGAAGUAGUAACUGUCCGGAGUAAAUUGCCAAUAGUGAGCGUACCUUGUACAGUGGAUGUGUGUUAUUAUUUAUACCUGCAAGGGAGUCCGGCCUCCGCACGACGCGGGAAUUGCCCGGUAUAGAUAACAUCCCGCACUCAGGGGGAUUUCUCCCGACCUCCUCGGGACGGACCUUCGCCUCCCCUGGGAGCCCUAGUCGGUGCGGCCCAGGGCUGCUGCCAGGAGUCUGGGGGCCAAGGCCCAGCUCGGUUCCUCCUGGGCUGCCGCGUGUCCGGGCCCAGAACGGGGCCUCUGCACUAGCCCCCUAGAUUAGGUAGGACUGUCAGGCAGACCUAAUCUAUCUCCGCCACGUGGGAGGCCAGAACCGCGCACUACCCUGCCGAGGUCACCUCUGGUACAGUGCUGUCACAGGGACGCUGCUCCCACGUCCUUUCAGCUGUCCCGCCUCUUCGGUUUUCGUGCCCGCAUUAAAUGCGUUCACAUGGGGGUCGGUUCAAAUUCAUGCAACCGUUUUCCCUCCACUCUUCCCCCUAUAAAUAGGGGAUGCCAAAUACUCAUCUGUCCCAUUUGCCAUUUCCGCUUCUUCUUGUGCAUUUCAAGUUAUCACUCUCCCUGCGCACCCACAUUUCCAUUUUCCAGCAACCUCCGGCGUCCUGUGCCCAGAUUCCGGCGAGCCUUCAGUCCUUCUUCUGCCGUCAUCAGUAAGUCCUUUUUGCGACUCAUCUUCCCUCUUUGCGGUGUCUCUUUUCCCCUCUGCUACCUCCCACUUUUUAUGUCGGAGCAUUCCUCCUCCUCUGUUGCUGUAGUAUCAAUCCGCCGCCGAGCUCCCCGAAUCAUCGUUCUUUCCUCGCCUUCACCCUCAUCUUCGUCACCAUCUUCUCCUCCUCCCCCUUCCCCUUCUUUUGUUUCUAGUCCCAGCUUCCACACCUCAGACCUACUUGAGUCUACCGAUACCAUGAGUUCUCCGUCUGCCCACUCCCCUUCGGCCCAAGCCCUUGAGGAGGCAGCCGAGCUCGACGCGCUCAUCGCGCGGCAGGCUGCCUCCACUCCCUCCCCCAGAUCCCCCCAUGAUUCCCCUGGCGGAGCCCAGGAGGGUGCCGGGGAGGAUAGGGACUCAUCGGGUGGGUCCCCUGCUCCCGAGCAGGGGAAUGAUCCUGAAUUCUCCUACGGCUAUCCCGACCUGCAGGAGGCCACCCUCUCUCCCCAGGAUUUGGCCGAGCUGGCUAGGUCGUACUCCAUCCCUCCAGCCUACGAGCCGAGGUUGGCCGGGCCCGACGACCGGGCCUGCCGGCCUCCCCCUGGCUUCGUAGCCAUCUAUAGGGAGCAGCUCAUCGCAGGGCUCCGUCUCCUCAUCCAUCCAGCUCUAACCGAGAUUCUGAACCACUGGGGGCUCAGAAUCACACAGCUCCAUCCUACCUCUAUCAGGAUCAUCACCGGAUUCCUGAUCUACUGCCUUCUCUGCGACAUCCCUUACUCUCUCUCCCUCUUCCGAGCUGCAUUCAUUCUUAAGGCCGCCCUCCCGGGGUGGUACUACUUCUCCCGCCGUGGCCCCCAGACCAAAGGAGGGAAAGGGGCCCAGGAGUUGUUCUUCGGCCUCCCCUCCUCCGUGAAGGAUUGGAAGGAGGAUUUCUUCUUUGUCAGAUCCACACAUUUUCCCCCCAAUGUGUGGAAGGUUGGGGGAGUCAAGGCCGACCCCUACCCGAAGGACCUGGACUACGAGACCCUCGGCCAGCUGUUGGGCUCCAAGGUGAAGCUCGAUGUCACCAGGAUCUCUACUGAGCAGAUCUCCGCAGCCGGGCUGAUGGGGACGUUGUCCGGAUCCUCCGGGGAAGUGGCGACCCCCCAGCCCGAACUCGACACCUGUAACACUGGCUCUGUCCCUGUCUUUAUUCAUAGCGUAUAGAUUCUCCCUUUUUUGCCUUUUACUGUCUUUCGUUUGGCUGACCUGGUGUUCAUUUCAGUGAGAAAGCUCUCCCAGCUGCUGGGCGCACCCCUCGAGGAGGUCACUCCCGACCCCCAGCCCGGAGCUGCUCGGGGGGCCCCAGGUGGGGCUUCCACCGAGCCGCCCCCCAGAAGGAGACAUCACAACCAUCCCCCUCCAAGCAGGCCGCCAGCAAAAAGAAGGCGGCCGGUCAGAAGAGGGGCAGAGGGGACGAGCCCUCUCAGGCUGGGCAGAAGAGGCUCGCCCUGGUCUCCGCACAGCCUCCUCCUCUUGCGCGGGUCUCCGGGGGACCAGUCCACCUGGGCGUGGGCUCUGCCGAGGAGCAGGUCCAGGAGUCGACUCCCCCGAGCUUGUGGCACUUCCGCCACAUAGCUCCCCUGAAGUCAGGCCAAGCCCCCACGAUGCAUGACCCCCCCACUUCUGUCCGUCCUGGAAACUCUCCAUCAACGACCGAGUCCAGUUCCCCGAGGUGGCUCGCGAGCUGAUGGUGGGCUCGGUCCUUCCUAGGGACAGGAAGUGGAUGGAACUGGCCAGCCCCUCCGAGCUCUUGGACGCGUACUACACCGCCCAAGCCCAAGUAAGUACCGCCCAUGGGUUAAUUUCCCCCCCGUGUCUGGGUUAAGUGAUGUGGCAUGCUGAUCUGCUUUCUCUCUUUUCCAGUCCAACGCUGCCGGUGCCGCCCUGGCUACCCGCUUCUCCGAGCUGUCUCCCGACCUGGAGAAGUUGCGGACGAAGAACCUGGAGGCGGAGAGGAAGCUUUCCCAGGCCCUCCAGGAGGCCAGCUCCCUUAAGGCCAAAUUAGACAAGGCCGAGAAAGAGCUGGACGCCGCCCAGGUCCAACUCGCCUCCACCAGGUCGGAGCUCGACCAGGAGAGGGCUGGUGUGGCCAAGCUGAAGGAGGAGCAUGCCGUAGAGCUCUCCGGCACCGUCAGCCGAGAGCGGAAGAAGGCUGUUCGGGAGUUUAUCUCCUCCGAUCAGUUCGAGGUGGACAUCGCCCUCCUCAACCAGCCCAUCCUCCAGGUUGGCUCUACGCGGGCCCUGACCCAGGUGCAGGGCCUCAACCUACCCGGCUUCAAUGUGGCGGAUUUCAAGGACUACGAUCCUGCGGCCGAGGAUAGGCUGGACUGGCUCUUUGAUGGGUACCGGAAGGGGCAUGCCCUGAAGAGCCUGGUCCGCCGAACCGACGUAGGAGCAGACCUAGAGGAGGUUCCCCUGGAGGAGGACGGGUCUCCAGGCAGAGCUGCCGGAAAAGAGCCGGUGGCCUAGGGCGGUAGCCACUCCAGAAACCCUUUCUGUCUUUUUGUAAGGAUGCGACCAUGCUCCAGUUGAAAAUCUUGGAGGUCCAUUCAGGACGGAAGGGGUUUCCUGCUUCCGGGCUCCUGAAUAGCCUUCACCAUACGCCUCUCACCAUGCUUAAGGUGUACUUUCAGCUUCCACCCCGGUCGGGCCACCAGCAGGUAGAACAGACAUCGAAGGAGAUUACCAGCUCGGAAAUUUUACGGUAGAUAGGCAGGGCGCUUUGUAAUAGAUAGGCAGCUCGGAAGCUUUGUAAUAGAUAGGCUUGCAAUGUAUACACAAGACUUCGAAGAGUUAUUUUCUUCUUUCCUUGCCCACUCGCAAUGCUAUGUGCCGACCUCCUGGGUCGAACACCUCACACCUCACCCCUCGGGGCUGAGUGCUUUAAAUAUUAAGCGCGUCCUUGCCGACCUCCUAGGUCGAACAAUUCGCACUUCCGACCGAGUACUUUAAGCAUUAAGUGCGUUCUUGCCGACCUCGUGGGUCGAACACUUCGCACUUUAUUAAGCGCGUUCGUGCCGACCUCUUGGGUCGAACACUUCACACUUCAGAAUAUUUUAAGCAUUAAGUGCGUUCUUGCCGACCUCCUGGGUCGAACACUUCACGCUUCAUUGAGCGCGUUCAUGCCGACCUCCUGGGUCGAACACUUCACGCUUCAGAAUAUUUUAAGCAUUAAGUGCGUUCUUGCCGACCUCCUGGGUCGAACACUUCACACUUCAUUGAGCGCGUUCAUGCCGACCUCCUGGGUCGAACACUUCACACUUCAUUUUUAAGCAUUAAGUGCGUUCUUGCCGACCUAGAGCGCGUUCAUGCCGACCUCCUGGGUCGAACACUUCACACUUCAUUGACCCCUAGCCCCCCACUAGGACGUUGAGCGAGGGAAUGCUGAAUGUGCUAGUGUAAGGUGCAGGUUUGAAAAUUGUAAAAUGAAACAAGUACAAGUGAAAAUUAAAACGAGCUGUGAUUGAAUGAGAAAACAAAAACUCGGAUUCCAGAGAACAGGCCACGGAUCACCCUGGUUUAACCUACGCUACAAACAACCGCAAAUUGGAGAAGUGCCAAGUCCGAGGUACUUCAGAUCCAUCCGUCUUAGCGAGCUUGCAAUAGCCAGCUCGGCUCGCCUCAAGGACCUUGUAGGGGCCCUCCCAAUUUGGGUCGAGCUUGUUGGAGCCGUGCACUCGGCUUAUCGAGUUCUUUCUCAGUACGAGGUCUCCUGGCUGGUACUGUAUAGUCUUUACUUUGGCGUUGUGAUAGCGAGCGAGUUGGCUUUUAUACUUAGCCAUUCGAAUAGCCGCUUCCUCCCGCCUGACUUCGAGCAUGUCCAAGUUGCACCUAAGCUCUUCCUCGUUGGAUGUUGCCGCGAAAUUCUGUGUUCUGGGUGAGGGAAGACCAACCUCUGCG